rnacentral:tRNA from 1 species
UGGCUCAGUGGUAAAGCAACUGCCUGCAAUGCAGGAGACCCAGGUUCGAUCCCUGG